rnacentral:rRNA from 1 species
GGCUCAGGAUGAACGCUGGCGGCGUGCCUAAUACAUGCAAGUCGAACGAGAGUGCUUGCACUCUAGUGGCGAACGGGUGAGUAACACGUAGGUAACCUGCCUUACAGUUGGGAUACCCUGGCGAAAGCUAGGCUAAUACCGAAUAAUUGGAUUGGAGGCAUCUCCGAUCUCUAAAAGGGGCCUUUAAAGCCUCGCUGAAUGAUGGACCUGCGGCGCAUUAGCUAGUUGGUGAGAUAACAGCCCACCAAGGCGAGGAUGCGUAGCCGACCUGAGAGGGUGAACGGCCACACUGGAACUGAGACACGGUCCAGACUCCUACGGGAGGCAGCAGUAGGGAGUUUUCGGCAAUGAGGGCAACCCUGACCGAGCAACGCCGCGUGAAUGAUGAAAGGUCUUCGGAUUGUAAAGUUCUGUUAUAAGGGAAAAAUGAUAUGGUGAGGAAAUGCUCCAUAUUUGAUGGUACCUUAUUAGAAAGCCACGGCUAACUACGUGCCAGCAGCAGC